GAUGAAGAACGUAGCGAAAUGCGAUAAGUAAUGCGAAUUGCAGAAUUCAGUGAGUCAUCGAAUCUUUGAACGCACAUUGCGCCCUGUGGUAUUCCGCAGGGCAUGCCUGUUCGAGCGUCAUUUCAACCCUCAAGCUCUGCUUGGUGUUGGGCCACGCCCUCGCGGCCGGCCCCAAAGCCAGUGGCGGCGCCGUCCGGCUCUAAGCGUAGUACAUCUCUCGCUCUAGGGCCCGGCGGCUGCCUGCCAGAACCCCAAACUCUUAUGGUUGACCUCGGAUCAGGUAGGGAUACCCGCUGAACUUAAGCAUAUCAUAAGCGGAGGA
rnacentral:misc_RNA from 1 species